AGUGAACGCUGGCGGUAGGCCUAACACAUGCAAGUCGAACGGCAACACAGUAAGAGCUUGCUCUUACGGGUGGCGAGUGGCGGACGGGUGAGGAAUACAUCGGCAUCUACUAUUUCGUGGGGGAUAACGUAGGGAAACUUACGCUAAUACCUAAUACGACCUACGGGUGAAAGCAGGGGAUCUUCGGAGCUUGCGCGAUUGAUUGAGCCGAAUCCGGAUUAGCUAGUUGGUGAGGUAAAGGCUCACCAAGGCGACGAUGCGUAGCCGACCUGAGAGGAUGAUCGGCCACACUGGAACUGAGACACGGUCCAGACUCCUACGGGAGGCAGCAGUAGGGAAUCUUCGGCAAUGGGCGAAAGCCUGACGGAGCAAUGCCGCGUGAGUGAUGAAGGUCUUCGGAUCGUAAAACUCUGUUAUUAGGGAAGAACAAAUGUGUAAGUAACUAUGCACGUCUUGACGGUACCUAAUCAGAAAGCCACGGCUAACUACGUG
rnacentral:rRNA from 1 species